rnacentral:lncRNA from 1 species
AAGAGACCCCCAGACCACAGCCUUCCAGAAGCCUCCAUCUACACACCGUGUCACAAGAGACCCUCACACUACAGCCUUCCAGAAGCCUCCAUCUACAUACCAUGUCACAGGAGACCCUCAGACCGCAGCCUUCCAGAAGCCUCCAUCUACACACCAUGUCACAAGAGACCCUCAGACUACAGCCUUCCAGAAGCCUCCAUCUACAUACCAUGUCACAGGAGACUCUCAGGCUGCAGCCUCCCAGAAGCCUCCUGAGGAAAGCAGGGCUUCAUCUGAAGACAGGUCACUGGCACUAAGCUUACUUGUUUUUUUGAGACAGGGUCUCUGUCUGUCGCCCAGGCUGGAGAAUAGUGGUGUGAUCACGGCUCACUGUAGCCUCGACCUCCUCAGGCUCAGGUGAUUCUCCUACCUCAGCCUCCCCAGUAGCAGGGACUACAGGUGCUCACCACCAUACUCAGCUAAUUUUGUAUUUUUUGUAGAGACGGGGUUUCACCAUGUUGCCCAAGCUGGUCUCAAACUCCUGAGCUCAAGCCAUCCACCCACCUCGGCCUCCCCAAAUCCUGGGAUUACAGAUGCGAACUACCGUGCUGGGCCUAAUCUUACUGUUUUAAUGUAAAAAUGGACAGUCUUGAGGAAGACAGAUUGUUCCUCAGGGAACGUUUAACGAGUUGAAUGUUUACCAUGUAGUCACUCUAUAUGGAAAUCAUAAUUCAAUUUUGUAAACAUCAGACUUUGACAAAACAAAUGAUGAUGUUCUUAAGGAAAGCAGAGAGACACAGUGUGAAAUCGCUGCUCUCAGAUCAGCACACGGGAGAGGCCAGCAGUCAGGAGGGGGCUCACCGAGUUUGUCUGCACUCGCUCCCUCCGCAGCCGCCCUCUCCAGCUGGAAGAAGUCGUAAUCGAACCUGCUCAGGUCCUCACUGCCCCACUCCGAAGGAAACCCCACGUACAGGUGAGGUCAGAGGAGUGAAGUGACUUGCCCAAGACCACACAGUGAGUCAGGAGCAGGCCUGUCCCUCCAGCAGUGGUGCCAUGUUGUCCCCAAGCCAUGGUGGCAGAGGAGCUGGUGUGAACGCCCCAUCCUGCCACGUCUGUGAUGUGGGCACCUCACAUGACUGUCCCCUCCCAGCUCUUGGGGGGGACCUAGGACAUUCUGUGAGCCUGCAGGAAAGUUUACCAAAUGCUGCAGCUUUGUCCUGGUGGUGAUGGGCACCCCGUUAACGGCAACCUUGCAUUUGCUAUGUGGAGUGACCGUCACUUUACCGUCGGCAUUUGUGAAGGAAGCGUGUUUAUCUGAAAUUCUAAGAAGAUGAGAGUCAAAGACACCCAGCAAACGGCGGUUUCCGUGAGCAGGGUUGGAGCCCAGGAAGCAAACCAGCACUGCACCCUAGAUUUCAGCCAGAGGACGAAAGCCCUGCCCUCAGCUUUCUCAGACCAGCCCUGGAGUAGGUGGCCCGGGGAGACCUGGGCAGUGUCCCUGCUUGUCCUGCAGACUGUGUGGCUCUGCAGACCUCUAGAUGGAGGAGGCACAAUUCUCUAAUGCUGGACGAGGACACUGAUCAUGGAAACUCACCCCAAACCUUGAAUCGUGAUAGCAUUUGAGGCAGCCUGACCGGUGCCACAUGAACCUGAAAGGAAUCAAGAUAUAAUUUAUUUUGAAAAUAAAUCAGACACUUUCAGAAUUUG